AACGAACGCUGGCGGCGUGCUUAACACAUGCAAGUCGAACGCGAAAGGGACUUCGGUCCUGAGUAAAGUGGCGCACGGGUGAGUAACGCGUGGAUAAUCUACCCAAUGGACUGGGAUAACAUCUCGAAAGGGGUGCUAAUACCGGAUAAGACCACGGAGUCUUUGGAUUCUGCGGUAAAAGGUGGGGACCUUAGGGCCUACCGGCAUUGGAUGAUUCCCCGUACCAUUAGCUAGUUGGUGGGGUAAGAGCCUACCAAGGCAACGAUGGUUAGCUGGUCUGGGAGGAUGAUCAGCCACACUGGAACUGAGACACGGUCCAGACUCCUACGGGAGGCAGCAGUGGGGAAUUUUGCGCAAUGGGGGAAACCCUGACGCAGCAACGCCGCGUGAGUGAUGAAGGCCUUCGGGUCGUAAAGCUCUGUCAGAGGGAAAGAAGUGUAUUGUGGUUAAUACCCAUGAUACUUGACGGUACCCUCAAAGGAAGCACCGGCUAACUCCGUGCCAGCAGCCGCGGUAA
rnacentral:rRNA from 1 species